UCAGCUGGAAAACAUGUUGCUGAGCCUUUGCAAAUCAGCUGGAAAUAGCCUCGAUGCGAAAGUUCAUUUUUCGGUUAGAGUAUUUCAUACGCGCAAACUUCGCUGGAAGACCAGAGAGUUAAUUGUAGGUGUAUCUGACCACCGUGAAGUUAUUAAAAGAGAUUGUUAUACUAUCACUCUUGGAGAAGGGACCUCUUCUGCUUCGGUCUCAACCUGAACGAGUUUGGCCCUGGCAAGUGACCUUUGCUGUAACACAACAAUUGUGAUGUAUGUGAACUAGGUGUGAUGUAUGAUGUAUCAAAACUUGUUAGAACUUUAACUAAAUGCACGUCCUUCACGGUGUCUCUCCGGUUCAUGAAAAAUUGGCAUCUACCAGCAUCUUCAACAU